AUAAAACCUGCUCUCACUCUCUUUGUCUUUUAUCUCGCACCAAUAAAUUGAACCAUUAAGCUGUGGUGACGAUGGCGGUCGUGGAAGAGGUAGAAGAUUCGAUGGCGGACGUGGAGGUCGGCGGGAGGUCGUGGCGGUGAAGAAAAAGAGGACUUCACUGUCAAUGUUGUGAAAAAGAACAAACCGAUUGCUCCUCCGCCCGUUGAUGUCAAGUUUUUUUCUGUCAAACUGAUGAAAAAAACGAUGAACGAAGGCGGUUUGAGUUGAACGAAGAAAGCCGUCGUUGGAGUGGGACGAAGUUAAGCGAACAAUGAACGAAAGCGAAUGAUGA